UACGUAGGGUGCGAGCGUUAAUCGGAAUUACUGGGCGUAAAGUGUGCGCAGGCGGCGCCGCAUGUCGAGUGUGAAAGCCCCGGGCUUAACUUGGGAAUUGCGCUCGAAACUACGUGGCUCGAGUGUGGCAGAGGAAGGUGGAAUUCCACGUGUAGCGGUGAAAUGCGUAGAUAUGCGGAGGAACACCGAUGGCGAAGGCAAUCCCCUGGGCCUGCACUGACGCUCAUGCACGAAAGCGUGGGGAGCAAACAGG
rnacentral:rRNA from 1 species